rnacentral:ncRNA from 1 species
UUUACGGAGAGUUUGAUCCUGGCUCAGGAUGAACGCUGGCGGCGUGCUUAACACAUGCAAGUCGAACGGUGAAGCCAAGCUUGCUUGGUGGAUCAGUGGCGAACGGGUGAGUAACACGUGAGCAACCUGCCCUGGACUCUGGGAUAAGCGCUGGAAACGGCGUCUAAUACUGGAUAUGAGCCUCUUCCGCAUGGUGGGGGUUGGAAAGAUUUUUUGGUCUGGGAUGGGCUCGCGGCCUAUCAGCUUGUUGGUGAGGUAAUGGCUCACCAAGGCGUCGACGGGUAGCCGGCCUGAGAGGGUGACCGGCCACACUGGGACUGAGACACGGCCCAGACUCCUACGGGAGGCAGCAGUGGGGAAUAUUGCACAAUGGGCGAAAGCCUGAUGCAGCAACGCCGCGUGAGGGAUGACGGCCUUCGGGUUGUAAACCUCUUUUAGCAGGGAAGAAGCGAAAGUGACGGUACCUGCAGAAAAAGCGCCGGCUAACUACGUGCCAGCAGCCGCGGUAAUACGUAGGGCGCAAGCGUUAUCCGGAAUUAUUGGGCGUAAAGAGCUCGUAGGCGGUUUGUCGCGUCUGCUGUGAAAUCCCGAGGCUCAACCUCGGGCCUGCAGUGGGUACGGGCAGACUAGAGUGCGGUAGGGGAGAUUGGAAUUCCUGGUGUAGCGGUGGAAUGCGCAGAUAUCAGGAGGAACACCGAUGGCGAAGGCAGAUCUCUGGGCCGUAACUGACGCUGAGGAGCGAAAGGGUGGGGAGCAAACAGGCUUAGAUACCCUGGUAGUCCACCCCGUAAACGUUGGGAACUAGUUGUGGGGACCAUUCCACGGUUUCCGUGACGCAGCUAACGCAUUAAGUUCCCCGCCUGGGGAGUACGGCCGCAAGGCUAAAACUCAAAGGAAUUGACGGGGACCCGCACAAGCGGCGGAGCAUGCGGAUUAAUUCGAUGCAACGCGAAGAACCUUACCAAGGCUUGACAUACACCAGAACGGGCCAGAAAUGGUCAACUCUUUGGACACUGGUGAACAGGUGGUGCAUGGUUGUCGUCAGCUCGUGUCGUGAGAUGUUGGGUUAAGUCCCGCAACGAGCGCAACCCUCGUUCUAUGUUGCCAGCACGUAAUGGUGGGAACUCAUGGGAUACUGCC